rnacentral:rRNA from 1 species
GACAGAGGUGCCAAGCGUUAGGCGGAAUCACUGGGCUUAAAGCGUGUGUAGGCGGAUGUCUAAGUACCUUGUGAAACCCCACGGCUCAACCGUGGAACUGCUUGGUAUACUGGAUGUCUUGAGCCAUCUAGGGGCUACCGGAACAAAUGGUGGAGCGGUGAAAUGCGUAGAUAUCAUUUGGAACGCCAAUGGUGAAAACAGGUAGCUGGGGAUGUGCUGACGCUGAGACACGAAAGCCAGGGGAGCAAACGGG